UUGGAGCAUGCGCAGAACACAGAGCUACUUCCAUUGUGCUAACUAAAGAUACUUCGGCUUCCAUUGGGUCCAGCUUCCUGUAUUUAGUCUGAACGUCUCCUCAGCUGAUGAAUGAAACCCCCGGGUACAAAGUGUGAACACGAGGCAAAAUCUUGGAGGAAGCCGUCGUGCUGUGGCCGGGAGGUUGAUGAGGGAGACUCCCAUGUUGUUGGAGGUUUGAACUCAAGCUGCUCAUAUGACCAGUGAGUCUGCCAGCGCCAAGGGCUGAGGACAGAGCGGGAAGACAGGAAGAAGAAGAGCGCGUUCUGGAAACAUGUCACUUAGACUAUCGUUCAUCUCCAGAGUGAGGAGCAAACAUAAUAUGAAUCCUCCCUAUCAAACCCCACAAGAGGAGCCAUAAUGUAUUACAUUCAGAGCAGCGCCACGACCAAACAUGGCUGGGUAAUGUACUGCGUGUAUGUUUUAUUGAUACUGCAGGAGGGAUAGUUUUUUCGCUGCCUUGAGGAACCUUCA